rnacentral:lncRNA from 1 species
UAAAAAAGCCUAUCACUUUCUUCUCCAUUUUUCAGGCCGCCGCACCCCCCUUGCCCGAAAAAAAAACGAGAGAAACCCAUCACCUAAACCGAAACCAGUCCUCCCUCUUCUGCUACCAGGCAACUGCCCGAAAAGAAAAAACCCAAGCUUUCAUCUCUGACCAGUCGCCGCUGCAGAGUCUUCGAAAAGAGAGAAAAAAAAUCACCCGGCCGCUCCCAUUCAUUUUGCUUCUUCUUCUCCACUUAGCUGGACGGAUCGUCCCCAGCUCAUCAUUUUUCCUUUUUGCUUCCUCUUCCUCAGCCUUCUUCACUGCACGCGAAUGAGCCUCCCCUUUCAGCCGCACAGACCACCUGAACCAGCCGUCCUCGCUGGAGAUUCAGCAGCCAAUCCCUUCUCCUGCCGAAACCAGAGAAGCCAGGGCAACCCCUCCAUCUUCACAGCGGCUCCACCGGACGCAGACAACAGCAGCAAGGGCAUCCGCCGCUGCAACCAACAGAAGUGAAGACCAACCCGGCAGGGCCAACAGACCGGCAAUCCUUUGGUCAUACGCCGGCCACCUGAAGUGAAGGAGACGAAGAUGUAAGCCAAAGAAAUAUCUGCGGUGGAACAGAUUUAAAAAUGGAAGAGGAGCCGAUCUGAAAACAAAAUUAAAACACAUUUGCUUGUUGCGUUUUUUGGGUGAUUUGCAGGUAACGGCGCUGCUCACGGCCGACUGGAGGGUGAAGAGGGAAGGAAGCCAUAACGGACGUCCCCACGCCUCUGGAUAAUGCGGCGGCGCGUGGAGAAGACGCGCCGCACUGUUCCUGCAGAGCGAGAACGCUGCCUCUGUAAUUCCUAGAUUUUUAGGGAUUUAUUUUUUGUAAUUUUUACAUGAUAGGAUAUGUAUUUAAAUUACCGUUUUUUAAAAUUUAUGUUAUGCUGUAAAUGUGUGACCAUGAGUAAAAGAUAAUGAAAAGUGAUGGUGUGUGUAGGUAAUGAACAGGGUGCGUGCUUGUAUUAAAUUGUACUGAUCAGGGAUUUAAAAUAAUCUAGUUGAGACUGUUUACAAAGCCUUGACAAAUAAUUAUCAGCCACAAGCAGCAGCAGGGAAACAAGUUGUAUAAUGAGACACCAUAUCAUAAUCUAUAUCCAAUAAUCCAAGUGAUCAGUGGACUAACAACAGAAAUCCCAACUUGAUGAUGCAUCAGUCCAUCUGAAAAUUCA